GAUGAACGCUGGCGGCGUGCCUAAUACAUGCAAGUCGAGCGAACGGACGAGAAGCUUGCUUCUCUGAUGUUAGCGGCGGACGGGUGAGUAACACGUGGAUAACCUACCUAUAAGACUGGGAUAACUUCGGGAAACCGUAGCUAAUACCGGAUAAUAUUUUGAACCGCAUGGUUCAAAAGUGAAAGACGGUCUUGCUGUCACUUAUAGAUGGAUCCGCGCUGCAUUAGCUAGUUGGUAAGGUAACGGCUUACCAAGGCAACGAUGCAUAGCCGACCUGAGAGGGUGAUCGGCCACACUGGAACUGAGACACGGUCCGGACUCCUACGGGAGGCAGCAGUAGGGAAUCUUCCGCAAAGGGCGAAAGCCUGACGGAGCAACGCCGCGUGAGUGAUGAAGGUCUUCGGAUCGUAAAACUCUGUUAUUAGGGAAGAACAUAUGUGUAAGUAACUGUGCACAUCUUGACGGUACCUAAUCAGAAAGCCACGGCUAACUACGUG
rnacentral:rRNA from 1 species